GACGAACGCUGGCGGCGUGCUUAACACAUGCAAGUCGAACGGAAAGGCCCUGCUUUUGUGGGGUGCUCGAGUGGCGAACGGGUGAGUAACACGUGAGUAACCUGCCCUUGACUUUGGGAUAACUUCAGGAAACUGGGGCUAAUACCGGAUAGGAGCUCCUGCUGCAUGGUGGGGGUUGGAAAGUUUCGGCGGUUGGGGAUGGACUCGCGGCUUAUCAGCUUGUUGGUGGGGUAGUGGCUUACCAAGGCUUUGGCGGGUAGCCGGCCUGAGAGGGUGACCGGCCACAUUGGGACUGAGAUACGGCCCAGACGCCUACGGGAGGCAGCAGUGGGGAAUAUUGCACAAUGGGCGGAAGCCUGAUGCAGCAACGCCGCGUGCGGGAUGACGGCCUUCGGGUUGUAAACCGCUUUCGCCUGUGACGAAGCGUGAGUGACGGUAAUGGGUAAAGAAGCACCGGCUAACUACGUG
rnacentral:rRNA from 1 species